rnacentral:rRNA from 1 species
GAUGAACGCUGGCGGCGUGCCUAAUACAUGCAAGUCGAACGAAGAGUAUUGACUUCGGUUAAACACUCUUAGUGGCGAACGGGUGAGUAACGCGUUGGUGACCUGCCCCGAAGUGGGGGACAACAGCUCGAAAGGGCUGCUAAUACCCCAUGUGGUGCCAGAGGUUAGAGGCUUUGGCAAGAAAGGAGUAAUCCGCUUCGGGAGGGGCCUGCGUCCCAUCAGCUAGUUGGUAGGGUAACGGCCUACCAAGGCGAAGACGGGUAGGGGGCCUGAGAGGGUGACCCCCCACAAUGGAACUGAAACACGGUCCAUACACCUACGGGUGGCAGCAGUAGGGAAUAUUGCACAAUGGGCGAAAGCCUGAUGCAGCAACGCCGCGUGUGCGAUGAAGGCCUUCGGGUUGUAAAGCACUUUUCGGGGAGAUGA